GUCACUUUGGCCGAGUGGUUAAGGCGCGGGCCUGCUAUUCAUGAUCAAAACACGUGAUAAGCUCCAGCUCGUCUCUUCGGAGGCGCAGGUUCGAAUCCUGCAGGUGACG